GACGAACGCUGGCGGCGUGCUUAACACAUGCAAGUCGAGCGGUAAGGCCCUUUCGGGGGUACGACGAGCGGCGAACGGGUGAGUAACACGUGGGUGACCUGCCCUCAGCUCUGGGAUAAGCCUGGGAAACCGGGUCUAAUACCGGAUAUGACUCCAUGACGCAUGUUGUGGGGUGGAAAGCCUUGUGCGGCUGAGGAUGGGCCCGCGGCCUAUCAGCUUGUUGGUGGGGUGAUGGCCUACCAAGGCGACGACGGUAGCCGGCCUGAGAGGGCGACCGGCCACACUGGGACUGAGACACGGCCCAGACUCCUACGGGAGGCAGCAGUGGGGAAUCUUGCGCAAUGGGCGAAAGCCUGACGCAGCGACGCCGCGUGAGGAUGACGGCC
rnacentral:rRNA from 1 species